UACGGAGGAUCCGAGCGUUAUCCGGAUUUACUGGGUGUAAAGGGAGCGUAGACGGCAGCGCAAGUCUGGAGUGAAAUCCCAUGGCUUAACCAUGGAACUGCUUUGGAAACUGUGCAGCUGGAGUGCAGGAGAGGUAAGCGGAAUUCCUGGUGUAGCGGUGAAAUGCGUAGAUAUCAGGAGGAACACCGGCGGCGAAGGCGGCUUACUGGACUGUAACUGACGCUGAGGCUCGAAAGCGUGGGUAGCAAACAGG
rnacentral:rRNA from 1 species